CUUCCUCCUCUGGUCACCGGUCACCGAAACUUCUGAUGAUGUCUGCGUCUACAAGUCUCAUCGCGUGCUGCCACUUAAUAUAAGGAUGGGCACGUUUUAUGGUGCGAGAAACUGGUCGGGGAACGAGGUGGCGAGCCAGGGCUCCAGGCAGCGGUGUGCUGCGGACAUUUAACAGCGCACAGACACCAUUUACAUCUGAGAUGUUCCGAGUCAGGGCUGGCAGUCCAGGUGUUGCGGUUUUUAAAAUGGAAGGCAAGGCCCCCACCAGCAGGAAGAUCUCAGCUCCCUUUAUUGAGGUACAGUGCUAGCUUUAUUCCGGCCCUCUGGAACCAAUCCUGCGGCAUCUCCCAGGGUUCAUCCAUGAAACACACAUGCCCUGCCAUCCGGAGAACAGAGCGGCAGCUGUGAAGGUUGGCUUCUGAGUCACCAUCACUGAAGUGGAACUAUUUGUACAAGUUCAAAGGCACCAAAGACCUUGGCCAUCAUCUGCCCUAGUGAAUGUCAAGACGCAGAUGACAUCACUGUAAACUGAAAUGACUGUGAUAAUAAUGAAGACCAUGUACACAGAUUAUCACAGGCUGUGUCUUUCGACUUCAAGGUUAUGUGAUUAGAAAAUGAGAAAAGCGACAAGAUUAGAAAAA